rnacentral:rRNA from 1 species
GGGGGGGGGGGGGGGGGGGGGGGGGGGGGGAGGGGGGGGGGGGGGGGGGGGGUGGGGGCGGGGUGCGGCGGGGGACGGGGGGGGAGUGCCGGGGAAGCGGGCUGGGGGUGGGGGAUAGGGUGGGGAAAGGGGGGCUAGUGCCGCCUACGUCCGGAGGGAGGAAGUGGGGGGUGUUCGGACCUCACGCUAUCCGAGGAGCCUAGGUCGGAUUAGCUCGUUGGGUGGGUAAAGGCCUACCAAGGCGACGAUCCGUAACUGGGCUGAGAGGAUGAUCAGUCACACUGGAACUGAGACACGGUCCAGACUCCUACGGGAGGCAGCAGUGGGGAAUAUUGGACAAUGGGCGAAAGCCUGAUCCAGCCAUGCCGCGUGUGUGAAGAAGGUCUUCGGAUUGUAAAGCACUUUAAGUUGGGAGGAAGGGCAGUAAGUUAAUACCUUGCUGUUUUGACGUUACCAACAGAAUAAGCACCGGCUAACUUCGUG